rnacentral:rRNA from 1 species
CGCUGGCGGCGUGCCUAACACAUGCAAGUCGAGCGAGGAGAUCCUCGGGAUGAUCCUAGCGGCGGACGGGUGAGUAACACGUGGGCAACCUGCCUCAUAGAGAGGAAUAGCCUUCCGAAAGGGAGAUUAAUACCUCAUAACAUUGCAGUUUCGCAUGGAACAGCAAUUAAAGGAGCAAUCCGCUAUGAGAUGGGGCCCCGCGGCGCAUUAGCUAGUUGGUGAGGUAACGGCUCACCAAGGCGACGAUGCGUAGCCGACCUGAGAGGGUGAUCGGCCACAUUGGGACUGAGACACGGCCCAGACUCCUACGGGAGGCAGCAGUGGGGAAUAUUGCACAAUGGGGGAAACCCUGAUGCAAGCAACGCCGCGUGAGUGAUGACGGCCUUCGGGUUGUAAAGCUCUGUCUUCAGGGACGAUAAUGACGGUACCUGAGGAGGAAGCCACGGCUAACUACGUGCCAGCAGCGGC